GCGGGGUGACUGGAGGUGGCACCAGCGCGGUUUCAUACGCCGCACAAACGCGGGUUCAAGUCCCGCCCCCGCA
rnacentral:tRNA from 1 species